rnacentral:rRNA from 1 species
UACGUAGGGGGCAAGCGUUGUCCGGAAUCAUUGGGCGUAAAGAGCGUGUAGGCGGCUCGGUAAGUCCGCUCUGAAAGCCCGGGGCUCAACCUGGGAAUUGCGAUGGAGACUGCAAGGCUAGAAUCUGGCAGAGGGGGGUAGAAUUCCACGUGUAGCAGUGAAAUGCGUAGAGAUGUGGAGGAACACCGAUGGCGAAGGCAGCCCCCUGGGUCGAAGAUUGACGCUCAUGCACGAAAGCGUGGGGAGCAACAGG